UGCGUGUAUUAUAUGUUCGGU
rnacentral:siRNA from 1 species